GGUGACUUGAAAGAUGGUAAAAAUAAGACAGACAAGAAGGAUCACUCGAACGUCGGAAAUGAUUCAAAGAAAACAGAUGAUUCAGAAGAGUAAAAAAGACCUCAUAUACAAUAAAAGAGGCUGCCAAUGUCUUGCAUCAUUUUAGCUGAGCUUCUUCAUUCUCCUUCUUCUCCUUCUUCCACAAAGACCCAUAUCUGGAGAAGGUGUACAACUUUCAAAACCAAGCCCCCUCCACUUGGCCUUCUCUCAUUCCAUCUCCUCCCAGGGGAUGACUCUUUGGGGGUAUUAGAACUCGGAGGGAUUUUCCCCUGAGCCAACAAAACAACUUGGGAUUUUUGCACAAAUAGAAACAAAACAUGAAGGGACUUCCUCAAAAUCCUUUGCUAAUGACCUGGCUUUCAAGGCAUCUGUCUGGCCUGAUGAGAAUGGACAUCCUGGAUGUGCUGGGAGAGGCCUGAAAAAGCCAUACACACAGUAAUUGCCAUUUUACUACUGUCAAUGCCAUUACCUUAAAUGCUGUUAUUUUUGCACUGGCUCCUGAUGGUGGAUACAGCCACGCUGCCUUUCAUUGCAGCCAAGAUGAUGCUUCCAAUCUCUGGUUCCUUUCCCGAGUCAGGAACAUUUGUUUUCUCCGGUUUCCAUGAAGACUUAACAUUUGUUCUUAUGCUUUUAUUUUUUCCAUUUGUAUAUGAAAUUCUGUUUGUAUUUUUUAAAGGAGAUUAUUCUAUAGGAAUCUGUAUCUGAUGCUUAAUUUAUUUUAUCUGUGCACUCAUUAAUAUAAACCUGAAUGUUUCUGCUGUUGAUCAUACUGGUUGGGGUGGGGGGAACCCAUUGUUUUUACCAGGUGGCGUCUAUAACUAAGGAGUCACUGAAAUUUUUUACCACUGGCUGGUUCUUUUCUUUUGAAUAUCUGUGGUUUGACUUCAUCACUCUUCUUUUGAUUCAGUAAAAUGCUAAGGGAAUUAGUAUCAGGGAGAUAUGUCAGGUAAAAUUCUUUGUGUUUUAGUAAGUCUUUAAAAACACCAGGUAGGAGCUGAUGAAUAGCACAAAUCGAAAAUAGGAAUAGUAGAUGUAGCAUGGAAGGAGAAUAAUGACACGGCCCCCGGAAACCAAAUGAAAACUGGGAUCCAGGGGAGUACAAGUCAAGUGUGAUUUUUAUGAGUCUAAAUGGUGUGAUUUGGAUAAAUGUGGCUCUUAAAAUGUGUUCGUGAGUCACAAAGGAAUCUCUGAGUCCUUCGCAAGAGUAAAUUGUGUGAAUGUGCUGGUGAUGAAGUGGGAUCAGCAAUAGGAAGAAAGAGCUGGGCAACAGGCUUAAGUGCUUUCCCCACUGCAGAUUUAAUUUCUACAUUAAAAAGCACAAAAGACAGAUAUUUUAAAAUCCUUUCAUUUCUAGGGCAAAAAUUAGUAUUUCUUCAGACAGGAAAAAGAGAGACUGUAUGUGGUCUUCAAGGCCUUUUGCCUCACCGAAAUGUUCCCCAGCAGAAAGAUUUGGAGACCUUUGUCGUGCAGAAUGUAUAGCAGCAUGCUGGUAUUUGAACAGGUUUCUUCUGUCGGCUCUACAUUUUGCAUCGUAAUAACAUUUAUGUUUUUCUGUUUCCUCCUUGCUUUCCUAGCAGUGACCACGACAAAUGACGUGGUCACAAAUCCAAAUGAGUUCAGGGGCCUAGCAGGUCAAGUAAAUGAGAAAAGCCAUGUCACAUCACAGUUAUUGGGAUAAACGGCCAUUCUUAGUGGGCUUUGGCAUUAGGGAAACAGUAAGAGCAGUAGGGGCUGCGAACAAUUGGAGACGGGGGUGGCUGGGGGUGAUCAGGUCAACAGGCGGAGUUGGUGUUCAGCUAAUGGAUUUGUGCUGUGUAGGGAUGGGGGUCUUAGAUACCUAGGACUUUAUACAAGCCCUCUCUAAGUUUUUACAUACUGGCAACUAUUAAUAUUAGUAACUCAGACUCUUACAGUGUGCUGGUCAAACAAAACAUGCCUACAAACUCCAUUCAAUCCCUAGGACAUCAGGUUGCAAAGGACGUUCUUCGAGGUGGUCUGAUUUUGUAUAGGUAGGAAACACAACCAGGUGUAUUCCGUUCUUGACCUUGGAACCUGAAUCUUUUACCCCAUUUCUAUUCUGUAUUUUUGUAUGUGUAGUUAUUUGGCUAGUCAAAAUAGAAAGUCUACACCUUUCAUUUUAUAAUCAAACAAGCAGCACCAAACAACAUUUGAAAAAGAAACAGGAAUAUAGCCAUUUUUUCCUAGCACCAAUAAAGAUGGAAAUGUUUUUCAUUUGCUUUAAGUCAAUUAAUCAGCUGAAAAAGAAUGGGAAGAGAAUGUCAUUCAGUAUAGAACUUUACCUAGAACUCUCACUGAGGAAAAAAAAAAAAGCUCCAUGUAACUCAGUCUUAGGUUUAGAUGCUUAAAAAUUGUUUUGAAGGGACAUUGAGUAAAAAUGCAAACUUAUCUAUUUAAAGAAUAUAAAAUAAUAUAUUAUUAUGCUGUGAAUUGAUACUAGAGCUGAUAAAACAUUAAAGUAAUUAUUCCAAGUUAGUAUUGACUGGAAGGACAAUAUUUCCAAAGCUCUAGCUGAUUUUCUGUGGUCUUUUAAUUCUCUUGAAACAAUGUUCUCCAAGUUGAACAGCAAUAUGGGGCAAACAUUAUUCCAUUGCACAGAUUACAGCAUCUUAUUCUGGUGUACACGCCCACAGCAAGGACUUACACACCUGAAUGAAGAAUUGACUGGUGUAUAUAGACAGCAGUAGGGACAGUCUCACCAUGACAAAACCAUGUUCUGCGCAUCUCUGGGCGGAAAGUGACAAAUGAAGUCCUCCAACUUGUGUUAAUGUGGUACAUUUCAGUGGCAAAGCGACUUACCCUCGUGGGGAUCUUUGUUCCAUUUUUUAUUCAUGCCAACCUUUCUUAGGUUAUGAGCCCUGAUAGUUGAUGGCAGCAGACAGGAGACUCAGUUCUAACCUAUUAAAUUCAAAUGGACUUUCUUCCACUGUUCAUUUCAUUCUUGGAAAUUUAAAAACUAGGGAAAACAUCUGACAGGAUCCCAUUAUGGAUCUGAUAUGCUUAAACAGUAAGAUGGCAUCUAAACAUCUGAAAGCCAAAGAAUACUCUAGUGCUCACAUUCAAUUCAUUUGCACAAUUUCAGCCAUUAUAUUAUAUUUGCCACCCAGAACCAUGCCUUUACAAAAAUAAAAGUGAACAGGAAAGAGCAAUGUUUCACAGGUUGUGAGACAGGAAGGAAUCAAAAAGAUGGAGACCGAUUUUGUUAUCCAUAUUUUGGGAAUAAGAAUACUGGUUUGUUUUUUAUUGUCAUUUCUCUUAUGGAUCACUUUUCUUUAGAUAGAUAGAUAGAUAGAUAGAUAGAUAGAUAGAUAGAUAGGAUAUGGAAUAUAUUUUCUUCUAUUCUUUUUUUAACAUCUGAGCAGAGAUUUAGAUAGAAAUUACUUUGUAACGUUCCUUAUGGAGCAUGAGGGAAACAACAGAAAAAAAAGCACAAAAUCUUUUUUUCAUAAUGAAAAAUAGAGAAGAUACUGAGAUUGGAAGCCUAUAUAUGUAUUAUUAUAUCCCAAAUAAAGGGCAUUUGGGGAAUUCAAGCAAUGUGUUUCUUUUUUAUUUUGUUUUUGUUUUUUGGUUUUUUUUUUGCAAUUGUAAACUUUGUUGUCCUGAUUCUGAGAUGCCCACCUGCCCCACAGGAGUUGCAGUACUGGCCCACCACAGUGCCUGGAAUGUAGUCAGCAUUCAGGAAACACAUGCAGAAUUGUCAAACUGAAUUCCAUGCCCCACUUGUGAAUGCAAACACAAUUCAAAUUUCCCUGAAAAUUUAUUCAGCAUCUUCUAUAUGCCAAGCACAUUGCUAAAGGCUUAUCUUCUAAGUAUAUGCAGACGUACCCUAGUCACACAAAUAGCUUAUCAUAAGAGAUGGGAAAUUGCAGGUGAUUUGAAGGAAAUUGUCAGAACCAAGUUUAAGGAAAAAAUAAAAAUAAAAACCUCUCUUUGGUGUUUUGAUUUGGGAAGAAACAAAAACCCAGAACAACAAAAUAGGAUUUAUUUGAGAAUGCUCUUCCAAAAGGAAUGAUGACAUCAAUUUAUAUGAAACACCAAUAGAUUUAUUUAGAAUACAAGUUGAAACUUUAAAAACCCCAAAUGGACUCUCUUGGAGCAAAUAGGAGCUUCUAUAUAUGUGCAGUGUGAGGAAUCAUUGCAUAGUCCUGCUCCACCGGUGAUAUGAUUGGUAAUAGCACUGAACUGUGGCAAAAUUGCACAUUAAAGAACAUAAUGUUGCAAUGAUGAUGUUAUAUUGGAUCUUAUUCAUGAAUAAAUGGAAAGUAAUUCUUGUAAUUCAUCAACUGUGAUCUAUGAUUAAAGGCCUCAUUAUCACUUAGAAAAUGAACUUAAUGGAAAAAUCGUAAUGAGCAGUGACAAUAUUCCUAUGAAGUAUCCCUCUGGGAAUCAAGAGACAUAUUGCCUGCCAAGGCCAGAUUUCAGUUUUUAAGGUUUUCUCUCAUCAAAGACACUGAUGGGCACAGGGGGGACACUAGAAUUAGGAUGGUACCAGAGUCAUCUAUCUACAUUAGACAGAGUUUAUCUGCUAUGUGAACAUGGGUCCAAGAAAGUCAGAAAAAUGCGAAGUAGGCCUCUGCAGGUUGUCACUGAACAUGUGUAAAAGACUGGGUGCACUUCCAGGAAAGUCCUUAACAAACAAGAAUUGCUUCAUUGAAAGAACUUCUUGUUUUUACCUUGAACAAGUGGGGCGGGGGCGUGUGCAGUGGGAGACCUGAACUGAAGGGUGCAUACAAGUCAAACUUAAACAUUAUGAAUCCCUGAUUGUUUCCUUAAAUAGCCCCUCCACCUCACCCAUUUUUCUUGAAAAUGUUGGAAGUCAUAUUUGAAAUGAAUUCACAUUUAUUCUGGUUUGUUUGCAAGCAGAAGUGGAUUGACACUGGCUUCACUAAGUGCACUUGGACACAGCCUAAGUUGGCACCUCCUGAGCCAGAGGAGCAGGGAGUGGAGAGUGGGCACAACCAUUCAGUGGCCCCUGGGGAGACCUUGACACCCCAGGGGUAAAUGCUGGCUGUCCCAGGACGGAGUCAGUGCCAACUGGAGACCCAUCUCUCAGCUUUGGUCGACUUCAGCCAUGGUUCCUGAACCUCACCCACGUAUUCCUCAUGGGUGCUGACUUCUGAACGUGCAGAAGCAUUUCUCAGUCAGUUUAUGGCACAAGGCAACUCAUUUAAAAUACACUCCAUUAAAACCCAAAAGCUAUGGAAUGGCUUUUAGAUUGCCCUGGAAGCACAUCCUUGUAUAUAGUCUUUGCUUCUCUGUCGUGAUCUGUCUUGGGGUACGGAUGUGUAUACACUACUUUCCUUGUCUUUGAGUGGGUACAUGUGUGAAGAUACAGAAAUACAGUCACAUAUCUAUAUACGUAGAUUUAUAGUCAAAACCUACAGCCAUAGGUAUUGUCUAGUAAAUGAUUCUAGAGAUAGAACUAUAUACAUUUUGCUUUAUUCUUGCUUUGAUGAUAUUUUUAUACAAUUUUAUAUGCUGUAAAAAUUUUUUAAUAUAUUUGCUAUUUUCAUUUGUAGAGCCUGGUUAGGUUUUUAUCAGCUCUUAUGCCCACUGUACAACCAGAUUCUCCCCCAUCUGAUAUAAGCGUCCUGCCUUUCUCAUACCCUUUCUUUUUCCUUUUCCUUCUUUUCUUCUCCCAUUUUUCUACAUUUCACAAAUUCCUUCUUUUGCCUCUGUCCAGGUAACCCAUUUCGCUUGCAUCAUUUUAUUCCAUAGAAACACAAACUAAUGGGAAAAAUAAAAGCACCUUGUUCCAGUGUAGUUCAUGUGAGAAAGUGUUGGGUAUCAAAGGUGGGGCAGGGGCAGGUAGGGAGGAGAUAGAUUGGGAAAAAGACACAGGGAAAGGAAAUGCUUACGAGAGAUCAGUUGCCCAAGGCUCCCAGGGUAAUAAUAUAAUGUUGCUAUCAUCUUCCUUAGGGGGAGAGCACAGUUUUUGCUCUCACAGGGUUUUUCUCCCUAGAAUGCUCUGCUCUCACUGUGGGUCUGUAGACUUUCUCCUACUAAGGGCUUGGCCAUAUGUGAAUGGAAAACUCAGCUCAUCUCAGCCUUAGGUGUUGCUGCCGUUCAGCAGGAUUUGUGGGAAAUGUCUGGAUUAUAUCAAGGACAUUAGCAAGACUCAAAAGGAGGCGAGCAGAACCAAAACCGCAAACCUUAUCCCAGAUCAUAGUAGUUCUUUGGAAGCAUAAGGAAGAGAUUUUUGGAUAUAUUCUGGAAAUGCUCUUCCUAAAGGGAAGAUGGUAAAAUGGGCUUAUUUUUAUUUCAUGGUGGUGAUAGAAUGUACUUCCAUGAUGUCAAAUAUGCUUCUGGCAGAUAAAAUGCAGGUUGUAAUCCACAUUUGUACAUCAGAGGGCAAGAGGAUAGCCAUCCAUUCUAAGGAAGAGUGUUCUGUUCCCUACGAUGCUGCUUUGUACUAAAACAACCUGUUCAAACACCAUAGCGUCAUAUCCCCCAAUGCAAAAUUAAAUCAUAUGGAUGUCAUGUAGAACAGAGUAUACUAAGCUGCUCUCAAAAAAAUUAAAGAUGUGUUUAUUGUAAAUCUUUACUGCUCAGAUGAGCCUGGCAGUCUUUCAAUGUAUAAUUUUCCUCCAGCAUCUAGUAAUGCCUAAGUACUUGUAUGUUCUUCUGAUUACCAAAUAAAAACAUUGAGUUAACCUCUUAAUUGGAA